CCUACGGGAGGCAGCAGUGGGGAAUAUUGGACAAUGGGCGCAAGCCUGAUCCAGCCAUACCGCGUGUGUGAAGAAGGCCUUUUGGUUGUAAAGCACUUUAAGCGAGGAGGAGGGCACUUUGGCUAAUACCCGAAUGUGUCGGACGUUACUCGCAGAAUAAGCACCGGCUAACUCUGUGCCAGCAGCCGCGGUAAUACAGAGGGUGCGAGCGUUAAUCGGAAUUACUGGGCGUAAAGCGCGCGUAGGCGGCUUGUUAAGUCGGAUGUGAAAUCCCCGGGCUCAACCUGGGCACUGCAUUCGAUACUGGCAAGCUAGAGUAUGGGAGAGGAAGGUAGAAUUCCAGGUGUAGCGGUGAAAUGCGUAGAGAUCUGGAGGAAUACCGAUGGCGAAGGCAGCCUUCUGGCCUAAUACUGACGCUGAGGUGCGAAAGCAUGGGGAGCAAACAGGAUUAGAUACCCUGGUAGUCCAUGCCGUAAACGAUGUCAACUAGCCGUUGGGGACCUUGAGUCCUUAGUGGCGCAGCUACGACGAUAGUUAGACCGCCGUGGGAGGUACGGUCGCGAGAACGUAAACGUACAAGUAGAAGUUAGACGGCGUUGAGGACGUUGCCGACGGACGACGACGAGGGAGGUUAGGG
rnacentral:rRNA from 1 species